UACGGAAGGCAGCAGUGGGGAAUAUUGCACAAUGGGCGAAAGCCUGAUGCAGCUAUGCCGCGUGUAUGAAGAAGGCCUUAGGGUUGUAAAGUACUUUCAUCGGGGAGGAAAAACAAAACUAAUAAUUUUAUUUCUUGACGUUACCCGAAAAAGAAGCACCGGCUAACUCCGUGCCAGCAGCCGCGGUAAUACGGAGGGUGCCAGCGUUAAUCAGAAUUACUGGGCGUAAAGAGCACGUAGGUGGUUUUUUAAGUCAGAUGUGAAAUCCCUGGGCUUAACCUAGGAACUGCAUUUUGAAACUGAAAUACUAGAGUAUCGUAGAGGGAGGUAGAAUUCUAGGUGUAGCGGUGAAAUGCGUAGAUAUCUGGAGGAAUACCUGUGGCGAAAGCGGCCUCCUAAACGAAUACUGACACUGAGGUGCGAAAGCGUGGGGAGCAAACAGGGAUUAGAUACC
rnacentral:rRNA from 1 species